rnacentral:tRNA from 1 species
CGUUAGCUCAGUAGGUAGAGCAUUUGACUUUUAAUCAAAGGGUCUUGGGUUCGACUCCCA